rnacentral:rRNA from 1 species
AACGAACGCUGGCGGCAUGCCUAACACAUGCAAGUCGAACGAGACCUUCGGGUCUAUUGGCGCACGGGUGCGUAACGCGUGGGAAUCUACCCUUAGGUUCGGAAUAACUCAGAGAAAUUUGAGCUAAUACCGGAUGAUUACGUAAGUCCAAAGAUUUAUCGCCUGAGGAUGAGCCCGCUUAGGAUUAGGUAGUUGGUGAGGUAAAGGCUCACCAAGCCGACGAUCCUUAGCUGGUCUGAGAGGAUGAUCAGCCACACUGGGACUGAGACACGGCCCAGACUCCUACGGGAUGCAGCAGUGGGGAAUAUUGGACAAUGGGCGAAAGCCUGAUCCAGCAAUGCCGCGUGAGUGAUGAAGGCCUUAGGGUUGUAAAGCUCUUUUACCCGGGAUGAUAAUGACAGUACCGGGAGAAUAAGCUCCGGCUAACUCCGUG